rnacentral:lncRNA from 1 species
GUGGAGCUGAGAAAGAUCAGGCAUUCUCAGUGGAGUUCUUGGUCUUUAUUGGAGGGCUUCUGAUAGAGAUGACAGAGAAUGGAGCAGCUCUAAGGGAAGGGUUUUUUCGUGAUGGGGGCAAGUUCUAUCCUUUCUGUGGACAGUAUGAAGAUGGAGGAUAAACAAAAGACUACAUCCUCACCACUGCUCAUCCAGACUAUUAUCUCAACAGCCUCCUGGUUAUAGUCUCUCCCAUCCAUCCUGUAUUUAGCUACCAAAAGAAUCUUCCAAGAGCUCAGAGUCAUCAAAGUCCAGUGGCAAGAAAAAAGUCAGGAUGAUCUUGGUGACUAUGAGAUCUGAUCAAGCUCUUGGCACUCCACAGUGCCUACUUCAGUCUACUUCAUAACCAUUGGAACAAAUUGUUCUCAUUUUCCCUCUCCAAUGGAGGAGUUUUCACAUGCUUGAGUUAGCUUUUUCCUUAAGGGAAAAUUUGGAACGAGGAAGAAUUUGGUUCAAACCCUACCUAUGGUGCUAUCUCUGUGACCUUGGUAUUACAGACUCCCUGGAGCAAACACCUCUCAGAUGAAUGGGGAAUGGGACACCACCCCAUGACUGGAGGAGGGAGAGAGACAGAGACCCAAGAUACCAGCAUGGAGCCACAAAGAGGAAAGCAAUUGGGUAGCUAUUAAUUUUAGCCAAUAAAUUAUGUUAAUUAGGUACA